ACAGAGGGUGCAAACGUUGCUCGGAAUUACUGGGCGUAAAGCGCGUGUAGGCGGACCGGUAAGUCAGAUGUGAAAGCCCUGGGCUCAACCUAGGAACUGCAUUUGAAACUGCCGGUCUUGAGUGGUGGAGAGGGAAGUGGAAUUCCUGGUGUAGAGGUGAAAUUCGUAGAUAUCAGGAGGAACACCAGUGGCGAAGGCGGCUUCCUGGACACUAACUGACGCUGAGACGCGAAAGCGUGGGGAGCAAACAGG
rnacentral:rRNA from 1 species